rnacentral:rRNA from 1 species
GUGGGGAAUUUUGGACAAUGGGCGCAAGCCUGAUCCAGCCAUGCCGCGUGCGGGAAGAAGGCCUUCGGGUUGUAAACCGCUUUUGUCAGGGAAGAAAUCUUCUGGGCUAAUACCUCGGGAGGAUGACGGUACCUGAAGAAUAAGCACCGGCUAACUACGUGCCAGCAGCCGCGGUAAUACGUAGGGUGCAAGCGUUAAUCGGAAUUACUGGGCGUAAAGCGUGCGCAGGCGGUUGUGCAAGACAGGUGUGAAAUCCCCGGGGUUAACCUGGGAACUGCGCUUGUGACUGCACGGCUGGAGUGCGGCAGAGGGGGAUGGAAUUCCGCGUGUAGCAGUGAAAUGCGUAGAUAUGCGGAGGAACACCGAUGGCGAAGGCAAUCCCCUGGGCCUGCACUGACGCUCAUGCACGAAAGCGUGGGGAGCAAACAGGAUUAGAUACCCUAGUAGUCC